AGCAGAAGAACUUUUGCACUGCAGUUCUCUUCUAGAGCCAUAUCUGGAACAUAGAGAUGAAUGCCCCAAUGAUGAGAAGACCAUUUUGCAGAUGGAAGGUGACUCUCUAGCCCUGGUGCUCUUGGAUGCCUUUACAGAAGACAGAUGUUUUACAUCUAUCAAUACAUUUCAGUUCUUAUUUGACAGCCUUGCUUGAAAUAUAUUUGCAAUUGCAUUGAGCAAAGGGAAACAGAGGACAACAUCAAAUGCC